AAGACUUCGCCAUUUGGUGGUAAGAUGGUUGUUUGGCCGGUUAAUCACGCCUCCGUCAUCCAGAGGUAAGCUUCAUGCUUGCCUGCUUAAAACUCCUUUAGCCCUACAUCGGCCAACGUGACACUAGAAUUCCAGAAACGACAUCGUUUCGUUGCUGAAGAAGGUGCAUGCGUGCUUGUUUUUCUUCUUGGAGAUGGUGGUCGCCCCAAAGCAUCUUUCCACUCUUGGAUACCCUUUUAACGCGUCCUCCCCUUGAUUGCGGCUGAGUCACUCUUUUGACUUUGUAUUCAUGCCGACUCCAUGUUUAUUGUGUAUUUAAGAUCCGUUGGUUUUCAUAUGUUUCUUGUUAAUUGUUGUUUUAGUAUUUGUCCUAAUUUCUUUUUGUUUUUGAUUUUGGAAUCGAAUAGGAAUUCGAAUGUUGGUCAUCAUCUCCAUCGAUUUAACAACUGAAUAAAAGGCGGUUCAAGCGAGACCUGGAAAGUUCUUAAUGAAACCUAAAGUGGUGUUUCAAGAGUUAACGAAGAUGCCUUGCAGUCUAACCUUCAUGAAGGUUGGAUGAUGAACUGUCUGCAAAACAUAAAAGUAUGGAAUGAUCAGGAAACACUUUACUAAAGAUAGCAAGCUUGGGGGCUAUUGACCCAUUCAAAAAAAAGCCAACUGUAGUGAAUUGAGAGGUUCGAUGGUAAAAAAAAUGGGUUGAAAGAUGGAUUAUGUUUGAGGUGAGACAUUAAAGAUUGCUGGGUAAAAAAUAUGGUUUAUACUUUGCUUUUCUAAGCAUUUGUAGUUUUCGGUCUAGGACCGAAAAUCACCUUAGGUUUAUUUGUAGCUUGGACCGAAAACUCAUGUGUUUUCGGUCAAGUAAUUGUGGUUUCAGUUUGGGCUUUGUACUUUGGGCUUUGCACUUUGGGUCCAUACCUAUAUAGAAAUAAGAGUAGGAGUGGUCAUAUUGUGAGGAGGAGCAUGUUCUAGAAAGAGAAAGUGAGAGAGAACUUGUGUGUGUGUGUGUGUGAAUCUUGUGUUGGAUCAUCAUUCAUAUCAUCAAUACAUUAAAGAUUCAUCAAGUUCUUCUUCUUCUUCUUCUUCUCCAUUACACCUUGCAUCAUCCGCAUGAUUGGGAUUCCGCACCAUCAAGUGGAUCGGAUUGAUACGUCAAGAUAAUUUAGGGACUUAUAGUUGGUAUCAGAGCUUGAAUCGUAUCAAUUAAAUUGGAAAGAUCUUGAAUGUU